AUAAUCAUGGAGUAUAAUAAUUAAAUUUAAUAAAUUUAAUAUAACUAUUAAUAGAAUUAGGUUACUAAUAAAUUAAUAACAAUUAAUUUUAAAACCUAAAGGUAAACCUUUAUAUUAAUAAUGUUUUUUUUUAUUAUUUUUAUAAUAAGAAUAAUUAUUAAUAAUAAUAAACUAAGUGAACUGAAACAUCUAAGUAACUUAAGGAUAAGAAAUCAACAGAGAUAUUAUGAGUAUUGGUGAGAGAAAAUAAUAAAGGUCUAAUAAGUAUUAUGUGAAAAAAAUGUAAGAAAAUAGGAUAACAAAUUCUAAGACUAAAUACUAUUAAUAAGUAUAGUAAGUACCGUAAGGGAAAGUAUGAAAAUGAUUAUUUUAUAAGCAAUCAUGAAUAUAUUAUAUUAUAUUAAUGAUGUACCUUUUGUAUAAUGGGUCAGCAAGUAAUUAAUAUUAGUAAAACAAUAAGUUAUAAAUAAAUAGAAUAAUAUAUAUAUAUAUAAAAAUAUAUUAAAAUAUUUAAUUAAUAUUAAUUGACCCGAAAGCAAACGAUCUAACUAUGAUAAGAUGGAUAAACGAUCGAACAGGUUGAUGUUGCAAUAUCAUCUGAUUAAUUGUGGUUAGUAGUGAAAGACAAAUCUGGUUUGCAGAUAGCUGGUUUUCUAUGAAAUAUAUGUAAGUAUAGCCUUUAUAAAUAAUAAUUAUUAUAUAAUAUUAUAUUACUCCUUUCGGGGUUCCGGCUCCCGUGGCCGGGCCCCGGAACUAUUAUAUAAAGAAUGGUACAGCAAUUAAUAUAUAUUAGGGAACUAUUAAAGUUUUAUUAAUAAUAUUAAAUCUCGAAAUAUUUAAUUAUAUAUAAUAAAGAGUCAGAUUAUGUGCGAUAAGGUAAAUAAUCUAAAGGGAAACAGCCCAGAUUAAGAUAUAAAGUUCCUAAUAAAUAAUAAGUGAAAUAAAUAUUAAAAUAUUAUAAUAUAAUCAGUUAAUGGGUUUGACAAUAACCAUUUUUUAAUGAACAUGUAACAAUGCACUGAUUUAUAAUAAAUAAAAAAAAAUAAUAUUUAAAAUCAAAUAUAUAUAUAUUUGUUAAUAGAUAAUAUACGGAUCUUAAUAAUAAGAAUUAUUUAAUUCCUAAUAUGGAAUAUUAUAUUUUUAUAAUAAAAAUAUAAAUACUGAAUAUCUAAAUAUUAUUAUUACUUUUUUUUUAAUAAUAAUAAUAUGGUAAUAGAACAUUUAAUGAUAAUAUAUAUUAGUUAUUAAUUAAUAUAUGUAUUAAUUAAAUAGAGAAUGCUGACAUGAGUAACGAAAAAAAGGUAUAAACCUUUUCACCUAAAACAUAAGGUUUAACUAUAAAAGUACGGCCCCUAAUUAAAUUAAUAAGAAUAUAAAUAUAUUUAAGAUGGGAUAAUCUAUAUUAAUAAAAAUUUAUCUUAAAAUAUAUAUAUUAUUAAUAAUUAUAUUAAUAAUAUAUAUAAUUAUAUUAUAUAUUUUUUUUUUUAUAUAAUAUAAACUAAUAAAGAUCAGGAAAUAAUUAAUGUAUACCGUAAUGUAGACCGACUCAGGUAUGUAAGUAGAGAAUAUGAAGGUGAAUUAGAUAAUUAAAGGGAAGGAACUCGGCAAAGAUAGCUCAUAAGUUAGUCAAUAAAGAGUAAUAAGAACAAAGUUGUACAACUGUUUACUAAAAACACCGCACUUUGCAGAAACGAUAAGUUUAAGUAUAAGGUGUGAACUCUGCUCCAUGCUUAAUAUAUAAAUAAAAUUAUUUAACGAUAAUUUUAUUAAAUUUAGGUAAAUAGCAGCCUUAUUAUGAGGGUUAUAAUGUAGCGAAAUUCCUUGGCCUAUAAUUGAGGUCCCGCAUGAAUGACGUAAUGAUACAACAACUGUCUCCCCUUUAAGCUAAGUGAAAUUGAAAUCGUAGUGAAGAUGCUAUGUACCUUCAGCAAGACGGAAAGACCCUAUGCAGCUUUACUGUAAUUAGAUAGAUCGAAUUAUUGUUUAUUAUAUUCAGCAUAUUAAGUAAUCCUAUUAUUAGGUAAUCGUUUAGAUAUUAAUGAGAUACUUAUUAUAAUAUAAUGAUAAUUCUAAUCUUAUAAAUAAUUAUUAUUAUUAUUAUUAAUAAUAAUAAUAUGCUUUCAAGCAUAGUGAUAAAACAUAUUUAUAUGAUAAUCACUUUACUUAAUAGAUAUAAUUCUUAAGUAAUAUAUAAUAUAUAUUUUAUAUAUAUUAUAUAUAAUAUAAGAGACAAUCUCUAAUUGGUAGUUUUGAUGGGGCGUCAUUAUCAGCAAAAGUAUCUGAAUAAGUCCAUAAAUAAAUAUAUAAAAUUAUUGAAUAAAAAAAAUAAUAUAUAUUAUAUAUAUUAAUUAUAAAUUGAAAUAUGUUUAUAUAAAUUUAUAUUUAUUGAAUAUAUUUUAGUAAUAGAUAAAAAUAUGUACAGUAAAAUUGUAAGGAAAACAAUAAUAACUUUCUCCUCUCUCGGUGGGGGUUCACACCUAUUUUUAAUAGGUGUUCACCCCUCUUCGGGGUUCCGGUUCCCUUUCGGGUCCCGGAACUUAAAUAAAAAUGGAAAGAAUUAAAUUAAUAUAAUGGUAUAACUGUGCGAUAAUUGUAACACAAACGAGUGAAACAAGUACGUAAGUAUGGCAUAAUGAACAAAUAACACUGAUUGUAAAGGUUAUUGAUAACGAAUAAAAGUUACGCUAGGGAUAACAGGGUAAUAUAACGAAAGAGUAGAUAUUGUAAGUUAUGUUUGCCACCUCGAUGUCGACUCAACAUUUCCUCUUGGUUGUAAAAGCUAAGAAGGGUUUGACUGUUCGUCAAUUAAAAUGUUACGUGAGUUGGGUUAAAUACGAUGUGAAUCAGUAUGGUUCCUAUCUGCUGAAGGAAAUAUUAUCAAAUUAAAUCUCAUUAUUAGUACGCAAGGACCAUAAUGAAUCAACCCAUGGUGUAUCUAUUGAUAAUAAUAUAAUAUAUUUAAUAAAAAUAAUACUUUAUUAAUAUAUUAUCUAUAUUAGUUUAUAUUUUAAUUAUAUAUUAUCAUAGUAGAUAAGCUAAGUUGAUAAUAAAUAAAUAUUGAAUACAUAUUAAAUAUGAAGUUGUUUUAAUAAGAUAAUUAAUCUGAUAAUUUUAUACUAAAAUUAAUAAUUAUAGGUUUUAUAUAUUAUUUAUAAAUAAAUAUAUUAUAAUAAUAAUAAUUAUUAUUAUUAAUAAAAAAUAU
rnacentral:rRNA from 1 species